AUUGAACGCUGGCGGCAGGCCUAACACAUGCAAGUCGAACGGUAGCACAGAGAGCUUGCUCUCGGGUGACGAGUGGCGGACGGGUGAGUAACGUCUGGGAAACUGCCCGAUGGAGGGAGAUAACUACUGGAAACGGUAGCUAAUACCGCAUAACGUCGCAAGACCAAAGUGGGGGACCUUCGGGCCUCACACCAUCGGAUGUGCCCAGAUGGGAUUAGCUAGUAGGUGGGGUAAUGGCUCACCUAGGCGACGAUCCCUAGCUGGUCUGAGAGGAUGACCAGCAACAAUGGAACUGAGACACGGUCCAGACUCCUACGGGAGGCAGCAGUGGGGAAUAUUGGACAAUGGGCGCAAGCCUGAUGCAGCCAUGCCGCGCGUAUGAAGAAGGCCUUCGGGUUGUAAAGUACUUUCAGCGGGGAGGAAGGCGGUGAAGUUAAUAGCUUCACCGAUUGACGUUACCCGCAGAAGAAGCACCGGCUAACUCCGUGCCAGCCGCCGCCGUAA
rnacentral:rRNA from 1 species